AUUGAACGCUGGCGGCAUGCUUUACACAUGCAAGUCGAACGGUAACAGGCCUUCGGGUGCUGACGAGUGGCGAACGGGUGAGUAAUGCAUCGGAACGUGCCCAGAGGUGGGGGAUAACGCAGCGAAAGCUGUGCUAAUACCGCAUGUGAUCUGAGGAUGAAAGCGGGGGACCAGGCAGCAAUGUUUGGCCUCGCGCCUUUGGAGCGGCCGAUGUCAGAUUAGGUAGUUGGUGGGGUAAAGGCCUACCAAGCCGACGAUCUGUAGCUGGUCUGAGAGGACGACCAGCCACACUGGGACUGAGACACGGCCCAGACUCCUAUGGGAGGCAGCAGUGGGGAAUUUUGGACAAUGGGCGCAAGCCUGAUCCAGCAAUGCCGCGUGCGGGAAGAAGGCCUUCGGGUUGUAAACCGCUUUUGUACGGAACGAAAAGGCUCUGGCUAAUACCUGGGGCUGAUGACGGUACCGUAAGAAUAAGCACCGGCUAACUACGUG
rnacentral:rRNA from 1 species